rnacentral:lncRNA from 1 species
GCACAGUUGAGUGAAGACGAAACAUUGUGUGGUGAACUCACAAGUUUAAGCUUUUAUAAGACGUAGAAGCAAGUAUUUGAUUACACUUGGGCAAUCCAUUUAUGCUUAAAGAUUGACAUGCCUGUCAAAGAUCUUUUUGUAAGAAGCCCACGGAGAAUUUGUGCAACAUGGGAUUGCAAACAACAAAGUCUUUGACAUAUAUCAUACUCAAUUUCAUGUAUCUCUUAUAUCAAAUCCGAAUAAAUAUUUCUGUUA